AGCAGCCGCGGUAAUUCCAGCUCCAAUAGCGUAUAUUAAAGUUGUUGCAGUUAAAAAGCUCGUAGUUGAAUUUCGGGGUUCUACCAUUGGUCGGGCUAUUGUCUGUACUGGUGUGUAGAAUUUCUACCUUCUGGGGAACUAUCAUGUUAUUAAUUUAGCGUGGUGGGAAACCAGGACCUUUACCUUGAAAAAAAUUAGAGUGUUCAAAGCAGGCUUAUGUCUGAAUACAUUAGCAUGGAAUAAUAAAAUAGGACGGUGGUCCUGUUUUGUUGGUUUCUGAAUCACCGUAAUGAUUAAUAGGGAUAGUUGGGGGCAUUAGUAUUCAAUUGUCAGAGGUGAAAUUCUUGGAUUUAUUGAAGACUAACUACUGCGAAAGCAUUUGCCAAGGAUGUUUUCAUUAAUCAAGAACGAAAGUUAGGGGAUCGAAGACGAUCAGAUACCGUCGUAGUCUUAACCAUAAACUAUGCCGACUAGGGAUCGGACGAUGUUAACUUUUCUUGACUCGUUCGCGCCUUACGGG
rnacentral:rRNA from 1 species